rnacentral:rRNA from 1 species
UGCCGGACCUGACUGCUAUCGGAGUGGGACUAAGCCAUGCGAGUUGCACGUCUUCUAACCAUGUGGAGGGCGUGGCAUACGGCUCAGUAACACGUAGUCAACCGACCCUGCCGACGCGGAUAACCCCGGGAAACUGGGACUAACCCGCGCUAGGCCACGCCGCCUGGAACGGGGCGUGGCUGAAAGAGCGGCGCCGCAUGUGGCGCUAGUUGCGGCAGGACGGGACUGCGGCCGAUCAGGCUGUUGGCGGGGUAACGGCCCACCAAACCUGUAACCGGUACGGGCUUUGAGAGAAGGAGCCCGGAGAUGGACACUGAGAUAAGGGUCCAGGCCCUACGGGGCGCAGCAGGCGCGAAAUCUUCGCAAUCCGCGCCAGCGGGACGAGGUCACUCCGAGUGCCCUCCGCUGAGGAGGGCUUUUCCCCGCGAUAAAUCAGCGGGGGAAUAAGGGGAGGGCAAGCCUGGUGUCAGCCGCCGCGGUAAUACCAGCUCCUCGAGUGGUUGGGGUGUUUAUUGGGCCUAAAGCAUCCGUAGCCGGCUCCGGCCGUCUUCGGUCAAAUCCACCGGCCCAACCGGUGGCCCGCCGAAGAUACCCCGGGGCUAGGAGGCGGGAGAGGCGGACGGUAUUCCGCGGGUAGGGGUAAAAUCCACUGAUCCGCGGAGGACCACCAGUGGCGAAGGGCGGUCCGCCAGAACGCGCUCGACGGUGAGGGAUGAAAGCUGGGGGAGCGAACCGGAUUAGAUACCCGGGUAGUCCCAGCCGUAAACGAUGCGAGCUAGGUGAUGGAGGGGCUACGCGCCCUUCCAGUGCCGCAGGGAAGCCGUUAAGCUCGCCGCCUGGGGAGUACGGACGCAAGUCUGAAACUUAAAGGAAUUGGCGGGGGAGCACCACAAGGGGUGAAGCCUGCGGUUCAAUUGGAGUCAACGCCGGGAACCUUACCGGGAGCGACAGCAGGAUGAAGGUCAGGUUGAAGCCCUUACCAGACGAGCUGAGAGGAGGUGCAUGGCCGUCGCCAGCUCGUGCCGUGAGGCGUCCUGUUAAGUCAGGCAACGAGCGAGACCCCUUUCCCUAAUUGCUAUCACGAUCCGCAAGGGUCGUGGGGCUAGUUAGGGAGACUGCCGCCGCUAAGGCGGAGGAAGGCGGGGGCCACGGCAGGUCAGUAUGCCCCGAAACUCCCGGGCCACACGCGGGCUGCAAUGGUAGGGACAAUGGGCUCCGACCUCGAAAGGGGGAGGCAAUCCCCAAACCCUACCCCAGUUGUGACUGAGGGCUGCAACCCGCCCUCACGAAUCUGGAAUCCCUAGUAAUCGCGUGUCACCACCGCGCGGUGAAUACGUCCCUGCUCCUUGCACACACCGC